rnacentral:rRNA from 1 species
GAUGAACGCUGGCGGCGUGCUUAACACAUGCAAGUCGAACGGAGAAAGGGUAGCUUGCUAUCUUUUCUUAGUGGCGGACGGGUGAGUAACGCGUGGGUAACCUACCCUUUGCAGGGGGACAACAGUGAGAAAUCGCUGCUAAUACCGCAUAACAACUUCUUUCGCAUGAAAGAAGUUUGAAAGAUUUAUCGGCAAAAGGGAUGGACCCGCGUUGGAUUAGCUAGUUGGUGAGAUAACAGCCCACCAAGGCAACGAUCCAUAGCCGGCCUGAGAGGGUGAACGGCCACACUGGGACUGAGACACGGCCCAGACUCCUACGGGAGGCAGCAGUGGGGAAUAUUGCACAAUGGGCGAAAGCCUGAUGCAGCGACGCCGCGUGAAGGAUGAAGGUCUUCGGAUUGUAAACUUCUAAUCAGCAGGGAGAAAGGGCUAUGGCCUAUGACGGUACCUGACUAAGAAGCCCCGGCUAACCUACGUGCCAGCAGCCGCGGUAAAACGUCGAACCG